rnacentral:rRNA from 1 species
UACGGGGGGGGCAAGCGUUGUUCGGAAUUACUGGGCGUAAAGGGCUCGUAGGCGGCCAACUAAGUCAGACGUGAAAUCCCUCGGCUUAACCGGGGAACUGCGUCUGAUACUGGAUGGCUUGAGUUCGGGAGAGGGAUGCAGAAUUCCAGGUGUAGCGGUGAAAUGCGUAGAUAUCUGGAGGAAUACCGGUGGCGAAGGCGGCAUCCUGGACCGACAUUGACGCUGAACGGCGAAAGCUAGGGGAGCGAAACGGG